UGCGAUUCGCAGUUGGACAGAGUACCAAUGAUGGAUUUCACUUGGAAAGAUCGGUGGGUGGGCAUCGCUUGCUUUUACUUAUGCCUGGCGUUUGUGGUCGGUGACGCUUUAUAUUAUGACACAACCCUGUGUUAUGGGGAACCCGACUUCACAGGAUGCGAUUGGAGAGUUAUAAGAUGGUUCUUUAACCCAUCGACCAAGACUUGUUUCCUUUCACGCGUUUGCAGCGGUGGCUUCUGGUAUUUCAUGACUUGUGCACACAACUGCAUUGAGCGUGGACCCAAAGAGAGGCUGGCGAGGAUAAAGGAAAUGAACCAGAAAUCUACAAUUGUGGUGCCAUUCAAUUCGUUCGCAUGGACGACAACAGUGACAUGGGAUCCAACUGUUAGUAUAAAAAAAAAAAAUUAAAAAACCAAAAACACCACAAAAUGGUGGUAAAUUGUUUUCGAAUUGCCUUUGAGACGUUUAUUCAUACCUGAAAAGUCAUCAAAUUAAUGCACCCAAAUAAAAUUU